rnacentral:rRNA from 1 species
AGUGAACGCUGGCGGUAGGCCUAACACAUGCCAGUCGAGCGGCAGCACAGUAAGAGCUUGCUCUUACGGGUGGCGAGUGGCGGAUGGGUGAGGCAUACAUCGGAAUCUUCUUUUUCGUGGGGGUUCACGUAGGGGAACUUCCGCUAGUCCCGCUUACGGCCUACGGGUGAAAGCCGGGGAUCUUCGGACCUUGCGCGUUUGACUGAGCCGAUGUCGGAUUAGCUAGUUGGCGGGGUAAAGGCCCACCAAGGCGACGAUCCGUAGCUGGUCUGAGAGGAUGAUCAGCCACACUGGAACUGAGACACGGUCCAGACUCCUACGGGAGGCAGCAGUGGGGAAUAUUGGACAAUGGUCGCAAGCCUGAUCCAGCCAUACCGCGUGGGUGAAGAAGGCCUUCGGGUUGUAAAGCCCUUUUGUUGGGAAAGAAAAGCAGCAGGUUAAUACCCCGCUGUUCUGACGGUACCCAAAGAAUAAGCACCGGCUAACUUCGUG